UCUGGUUGAUCCUGCCAGUAGUGAUAUGCUUGUUUCAAAGAUUAAGCCAUGCAUGUCUAAGUAUAAGCGAACUUAUACAGUGAAACUGCGGAUGGCUCAUUAAAACAGUUUGAAUUUAUUUGAUGAAUGUAUGAGAAUACUACUUGGAUAACCGUAGUAAUUCUAGAGCUAAUACAUGCAACGACGCCCGACCGUUUCACUACGGAAGGGCUGUAUUUAUUGGAUACCAAAACCAUCCUUCCCUCGGGAAGUUUUGUUUGAUGAUUCACAAUAACUGAUCGGAUCGCCACUGUGGUGGCGACAGGUCAUUCAACAUUCUGCCCUAUCAGCUUUCGAUGGUUGUGUAGUGGACAACCAUGGCCAUAACGGGUAACGGAGAAUCAGGGUUCGAUUCCGGAGAAGGAGCUUGAGAAUUGGCUACUACAUCUAAGGAAGGCAGCAGGCGCGCAAAUUACCCAAUCCCGAUUCGGGGAGGUAGUGACAAAAAAUAACAAUACCGGGCCUUUUUGGGCUUGGUAAUUGGAAUGAGGGAGAGUUAAACGGACCAUCGAGUAUCCAUUGGAGGGCAAGUCUGGUGCCAGCAGCUGCGGUAAUACCAGCUCCAAUAGCGUAUAUUAAAGUUGUUGCAGUUAAAAAGCUCGUAGUUGGACUUGUGUGCGCUGUCCGCGGGUGGCCUGCGCCCAAAAGGGCGUUUCGGUUCGGCCCCGGUGGCGCCUUGAAAUCUGCAGCUGGGGGGACGUUGGCCUUAACUGGUCGGCGACCGCACGCCGGCUGCUCGGUUACUGUGAGAAAAUUAGAGUGUUCAAGGCAGGCAUUGGGUGCAAUUGAAUACAUUAGCAUGGAAUAAUAAAAUAUGGCUCCUGCCGUAUUUUGUUGGUUUUGACUGGUGGGAGUAAUGAUUGAUAGGGACGGUUGGGGGUGCUAGUAUUGAGCGGCCAGAGGUGAAAUUCAUGGAUUCGCUCAAGACUAACUUAUGCGAAAGCAUUCACCAAGGACGUCCUCUUUAAUCAAGAACGAAAGUUGGGGGAUCGAAGACGAUCAGAUACCGUCGUAGUCUCAACCAUAAACUAUGUCGACUUGUGAUCGGCGGUAGUUUUUUCAUUAAGACACUGUCGGGACCACGGGAGAAAUCAAAGUGUCUGGACUCUGGGGGAAGUAUGGUCGCAAGGCUGAAACUUGAAGGAAUUGACGGAAGGGCACCACCAGGAGUGGAGCCUGCGGCUUAAUUUGACCCAACACGGGGAAACUUACCAGGUCCAGAGAUGUAGAGGAUUGACAGAUUGAAGCUCUUUCUUGAUCACUUCGGUGGUGGUGCAUGGCCGUUCUUAGUUGGUGGAGUGAUUUGUCUGGUUA
rnacentral:rRNA from 1 species